rnacentral:rRNA from 1 species
UACGAAGGGGGCUAGCGUUGUUCGGAUUUACUGGGCGUAAAGCGCGUGUAGGCGGGUCGUUAAGUUGGGGGUGAAAGCCCGGAGCUCAACUCCGGAACUGCCUUCAAAACUGGCGACCUGGAGCAUGUCAGAGGCGAGUGGAAUUGCGAGUGUAGAGGUGAAAUUCGUAGAUAUUCGCAGGAACACCAGUGGCGAAGGAGACUCGCUGGGACAUUGUUGACGUUGAGACGCGAAAGCGUGGGGAGCAAACAGG